UUCAUAUACACGAAAACAGCAAGGGAAAUUAAUUCCAAAAAAGCCUUUGUCAUCUUCUUUCUUUCUUCUCUGGUUGAUUUUUUCCUGGGUUCUGACUGUCUAGUACCACCUUUUAGCCGUUAAUCUCCCCAUUUUCAAAGUGCAAGCAACACUUAUGCGGUAGGCUCUUCCUCCCAAAUUGAAGCAUUUGUUCUUCCUGAAGGUUACUCCGGAAUCGGUGGUGAGGUUGAGCUCCUUACUAAAAGUUUGGAACUAUGAAAAGGCGUUAAGGGUGAGCCUGUUCAAACUAAGUCUAGUUAUGACAACCUGAUCGCUGCCAUGUCUCGCAAUCUACGAUCUUCACCAGAUUUUCAUGCAGAUGUCUGUCUCCACCAUGAGCUUCACUAACCGUGUUAACAUCUCAUGGCUUAUUAUGUUCCUCACGAAGAGUUUAUUCAAGCUCAAAACCAAAUUGCUUGUGCUAAUCGCCUCUAGAUGAAAAACGUGGUGAAUUAAACUCAAUUCGGGCUAACUGUACUCUUAUCUUGGCCAAACUUGAGGAAGUUGAAGCCCUUCUUUCUAAUGCUGCUUAUUUGGAGGAAAAAUUUAAAGAACUCGAUGGCUAUUCUGACCUUCAAGACCACAUGGUUGAAUUUGGAGUCUACUGGAGUAAGAAACGUGAUGAACAUCACCAUCCUGAGAUUAAUUUUUAGUAUUUACUUGAUGAUUUUGAGUCUCAUUCUGCAACACAAAUUAAAACGAGGGAGAGAAGAAGAAGACUCGUCAGACUGGUGGAGGAAGCUGGUCACAUAUGCCAGAUCUGGUUGCUGCUCGCCAUAGAAGAAAAGAAAAAGUGCAAAGGGAGAGAAGUUUUAAAAAGUGGGACAAAAUCAUUUUGGCCUUGAGAAAUGAGUCUUUUAGUCAAAGAUGAAAAUAUCUCGAUAUAUUGAGGAUAUAUCCAUGAUAUAUUCAUAAAAUCACAUAUUUGAUAGAGAUAUUGGCGGGUAAGAUAUUUCUUUCUCCAAAUUUCACAUUAUAUCGCCGAUAUUAGCGAUAUAUCUUCAAUAUACCUUUUUGGGCUAAUAUCUUCUGCAGCUCAAAAAAAAUCAUAGAUAUUUUGUGGAUAUAUCACAGAUAUUUUGUGGAUAUAUCACAGAUAUUUUGUAGACAUAUCAUGGAUAUUUUGUCUACAUGUCGUCUGAUUAUCCUUAUAAAUCACUUCUUUUUUUUUCUUUUUCAAUGUGUUACCUUUUCCAAUUUUCAAUCCAAAACUUUCAUUUCAAAGAAAUUUAAUUUUAAAAAACAGAAAAAAAAGACGAUCAUGACCACAAAGCUGGUGGAGCAGGAAUUAGCUCCUCCACUGGAGAAUUUCAAUUCAUGCAUGUCACGCAAGACUCCAACCAUGACUAUAGAGUUGGUGGGCUAUUGAAGCAAUAGGAAAACCUUUCACUUGUAGAAGAUCUACACAUGAUGAUACUCACAUUAAUGUUGGGUCACUUGUUUCAAGUAGAGAUAUUCAUUUAAUCCGUGGAGUUAGGACCCUGAAUGGGGUGGGGAAUCCCUGAUUAGACGGGGAAUGAGGAAGGGAGCAGAAAGAAAAAAAAAAUUUGUCCCGACCUCGCCCCGUCCCGAUUAUAUAUAUCUAAUUUUUAUUGUUAAG